rnacentral:RNase_P_RNA from 1 species
GUGGCAGGCGGUCGCUGCGGGAAAGCACCCUUUCCGGCAGAGGAAAGUCCGAACACCAUAAGGCAGCAUGCCGUCCGAAAGGGCGGGCAUUUUCCGGCCCAAGCCGGGAGAUGACGGAUAGUGUCACAGAAAACCAUACCGCCCGGCUUGCCCGAGAGGGUGGCCGGGUAAGGGUGAAAAGGCGGGGUAAGAGCCCACCGGCCUGCCCGUAAGGACGGGCGCUUGAAAAACCCCUGCGGUGCAAGACAAAACAGAGGGUCGGGUUGCCUGCCCGCUCGGCUUUGCCGAGGACCCUCGGGUAAUAGUCGCAUCGGCCGGUGGCCGGUUCGCCGCCACCGCCGGCGCGCUGUAGCCAUUCAGCGCGAGAUAAAUGACCGCCCCGGCGCCGGGCGAAAGCCGGUGCCGGACAGAAUUCGGCUUAUGCCGCAAAC